AGCAUGCAGCCCUCCGCAGACAGAGAAAGUCUCCUCCCUUCCUUUUUGAUUCAACACCUUCUCUUUCAGAGCCUUCCCUUUCACCAUCCAGUUCCCUGGACUCACUCUUCCCUUUUGAUUUAAACCUCCCCUCCCUAGAAUGCUGAUCAAUGUUCCAGUUGUUUUUCAGAUGUAAGCUUCAUCCCUCUUGCAAGUGACUGGCUGAGGUCGCUUUGAAGGAUGAAGUCUCACAGGUUCCAUCCAAUCAAUUUCAGAAACGGGACUUAUGUUGCUGUUAACACUCACUGUUCUUAUUAUAAGUUUUAGUAAUGUUAAAAGGUUUAAAGGCCAUCAAUUCAACCGUGCACAUUGGCCACGUAGUCUUCGCCACCCCAUCAGAGCUGACACCGGUCGACAUAAACAGCCCGAAAAGAACCAAGCAGAAUACCCAGAGGACAUCGGGUUCAACGAUGGGGAACAGGACUGUAAAACCCCCCAUUUAAGUUAUUUUCCGUUCUUUUCUUUUGAAAAACAGAAGAGGGAGUUUUGGAAUUGUGUUAUUAUAUGUUUUAUUAUGUAUAAGUUCGUUCCAUGUACCCCCCCCAUGCUCUGUAGCGAUCCCCCGGGUUUUCCCAUCUCCCCCCACAGUUUGCCUUCCCGGGAAAGUGCCAAGUCACUGUGUUUACAUCUCUCAGACCAUCUGUCAGUCACACGGCAAGGUCGGGAGACGCCCUGGGACCCUCCACCUGUCCAUCCCCCAUUGGAUGUACCCCUGCACCCCACUGUCCUCAGACCCCCCGUGGCGUUAUCCUAUUGGCCGCCCCGGGUUUCCCCUGUUCAGUACUUAGCCCGCGGGCUGGGGACGCCCCGGGCUUUUUUCCCGCCCGGCCCCUGAGUGCUGCCGCCGCCGCCGCCGCCCCGGGCGAUCGCGGCCGCAGCCGCUCCGAUCCGCCGCCGCCGCUGCCGUGGCACUUCUGGCUCGCGGCCAGUUUUCGGAGCGCGCCGCCCUGCCCCAAACCGGCAAGGCGGCACGAACAAACUUCAGCGCGGCACGCCGCAGCUUUUUCGGUUUUUGCUUUCCCAACCAAGCCGCAAUAAACCGGAACUCUGCCACCGGGGGAAAAGUCUCUCUCCUUUCAUUCGCCGCGGGACUCACCUUUUUGCUCCCAGACCCACGUAGCACUGGCCAACGCCCGCGAGGGUUCGCCGGAAAACACGGAAAUUGCCCGCGCUUUCCCCCUCCCACGGAGCUAGCUGGGACAAAGGGGGGACAAGAGAGCACCAAGGCAGCCAUGUGUAAGAGAUGGUCUGAAGUUCCCCUCAUUUUUGCCUCAUGAUCAUCGCAAUGGCAGAGACUAAGAUCCUGAAGACCCCAAUUUGAAUUGUGGCCUGGUUGAGGUGGAUGCUCGCCAAGUCGUUGUUUGCAGGGCAGAAAGACAGCGACUUUCUACAAUCUCGUAAUUAUCAAUACCCACAGAUUCCGACAUUGCCACACUACGCUGCUUCAAGCAGGGCCUGGAAAGGAGCGGCUUGCUCUGUAUGCUUACACCUGCUUCACAACACCCACUUAUCACAAUAACCCAUGAAUUUUCCCACCUUUUGGCCAAAUGAACUUUCUGGGGUAAUUUUGGUGAUCUCUCACUGAAGAUCCCUCAACUUCCUCAUGACCACCGUGACGGACGGAAAUUGAAGCUCCCUCCCAAGUACUGAGACUGAGACCCCUAUAAUCCAAACACAGGCGUGCUGACCUGACUGAAGCAGGAUGUUUGUCAAGUGUUGCCUGCAGAUGUGUUCGCUGAACCAAGAAAACAAUUAGUCUCGCUCACUGAUGAAAUUUACUUGCCCUGCUUCGGAACAUGGACUCUUUCUACCCGUUUUUCAAUAGACUCAUUUCUCAAUUGUCUUUUACCUGUUCCCCUCCUCGGUGGAGGACAAUAAACAUCCCUAAGUUAACCAGGACUUCAGUGAACCCCCACGGAACAAUGACGGAUCUAUUGGUUGGACCAUGAGGAUUUAAUCUCUCUGUUGGUAGCUAUAUUCCCCUUCCCCUCUUUCACUCUCUCUCUAUCCUUUAUCUCCUUACUAAUCAUUCUAUGGCAUUGGCUGUGGGCACUCAAUAAAAGGUGCAUUUGUUGUGAUUAA